CCUACGGGAGGCAGCAGUGGGGAAUAUUGGGCAAUGGGCGCAAGCCUGACCCAGCAACGCCGCGUGAAGGAAGAAGGCUUUCGGGUUGUAAACUUCUUUUGUCAGGGAAGAGUAGAAGACGGUACCUGACGAAUAAGCCACGGCUAACUACGUGCGAGCAGCCGCGGUAAUACGUAGGUGGCAAGCGUUGUCCGGAUUGACUGGGUGUAAAGGGCGUGUAGCCGGGUUGACAAGUCAGAUGUGAAAUCCUGCGGCUUAACCGCAGAACUGCAUUUGAAACUGUUGAUCUUGAGUACUGGAGAGGCAGACGGAAUUCCUAGUGUAGCGGUGAAAUGCGUAGAUAUUAGGAGGAACACCAGUGGCGAAGGCGGUCUGCUGGACAGCAACUGACGGUGAGGCGCGAAAGCGUGGGGAGCAAACAGGAUUAGACACCCGGGUAGUC
rnacentral:rRNA from 1 species